AUGAAAACUUGCUCGUCUAUAACUGGUUUAAGAUGAUGAACUCUGCCGGGUCAUCCAGACUUUCACUAACAGCUGAUGAGUUUAUAUUUUCAAAAGAAAAAUAGUUGAUGCAUGCAAUAUUGGGUCAUUAGAACAAUUUCAUCCAAACCAAAAAUGGUUAUCUAACUGUUAGCCUUGAUAAAGGUCCACUUUUUUAAUCUGUUAUUCUAACAGGGAAGACAAUAUAUUAUUCCUUUCUA